rnacentral:rRNA from 1 species
AACGAACGCUGGCGGCAUGCCUAACACAUGCAAGUCGAACGAGACCUUCGGGUCUAGUGGCGCACGGGUGCGUAACGCGUGGGAACCUGCCCUUAGGUUCGGAAUAACUCCCCGAAAGGGGUGCUAAUACCGGAUAAUGUCUUCGGACCAAAGAUUUAUCGCCUUUGGAUGGGCCCGCGUUGGAUUAGCUAGUUGGUAGGGUAAAAGCCUACCAAGGCGACGAUCCAUAGCUGGUCUGAGAGGAUGAUCAGCCACACUGGGACUGAGACACGGCCCAGACUCCUACGGGAGGGAGCAGUGGGGAAUAUUGGACAAUGGGCGAAAGCCUGAUCCAGCAAUGCCGGGUGAGUGAUGAAGGCCUUAGGGUUGUAAAGCUCUUUUAACCGGGAAGAUAAUGACAGUACCGGGAGAAUAAGCCCCGGCUAACUCCGUG